GCACAAGCAGUGGAGUAUGUGGUUUAAUUCGAAGCAACGCGAGGAACCUUACCAGGUCUUGACAUCCGAUGCAUAGCACAGAGAUGUGUGAAAUCCUUCGGGACAUCGAGACAGGUGGUGCAUGGUUGUCGUCAGCUCGUGUCGUGAGAUGUUGGGUUAAGUCCCGCAACGAGCGCAACCCUUAUUGCCAGUUACUACGUUAAGAGGACUCUGGCGAGACUGCCGUUGAUAAAA
rnacentral:rRNA from 1 species